UGGGGAAUUUUGGACAAUGGGGGCAACCCUGAUCCAGCCAUCCCGCGUGUGCGAUGAAGGCCUUCGGGUUGUAAAGCACUUUUGGCAGGGAAGAAAAGUUUCGGGCUAAUACCCUGGAGCGAUGACGGUACCUGCAGAAUAAGCACCGGCUAACUACGUGCCAGCAGCCGCGGUAAUACGUAGGGUGCAAGCGUUAAUCGGAAUUACUGGGCGUAAAGCGUGCGCAGGCGGUUCGGAAAGAAAGAUGUGAAAUCCCAGGGCUUAACCUUGGAACUGCAUUUUUAACUGUCGAACUCGAGUAUGUCAGAGGGGGGUAGAAUUCCACGUGUAGCAGUGAAAUGCGUAGAGAUGUGGAGGAAUACCGAUGGCGAAGGCAGCCCCCUGGGAUAAUACUGACGCUCAUGCACGAAAGCGUGGGGAGCAAACAGG
rnacentral:rRNA from 1 species